UACGUAGGGUCCAAGCGUUAUCCGGAAUCACUGGGCGUAAAGCGUGCGUAGGUGGUAAUUUGUCGUGCAGUGCGAAAUUGAUGUGGCUCAACCAUACAACGGUACUGCAUACGGGAUUACUAGAGGACAUGAGAGGCAAGUGGAAUUACUGGUGUAGCAGUGAAAUGCGUAGAUAUCAGUAGGAACACCAAUGGCGAAGGCAGCUUGCUGGCAUGUAUCUGACGCUAAGGCACGAAAGCGUGGGGAGCGAACAGG
rnacentral:rRNA from 1 species